UACAGAGGGUGCAAGCGUUGCUCGGAAUCAUUGGGCGUAAAGGGCAGGUAGGUGGUCUGAUUUGUCUGGAGGUGAAAGCCUUGGGCUUAACCCAAGAAGUGCCCCGGAAACGGUCAGACUUUGAGUCUUGGAGAGGGUUGCGGAAUUCCCGGUGUAGCGGUGAAAUGCGUAGAGAUCGGGAGGAACAUCUGUGGCGAAGGCGACUGCCUGGACCAGCACUGACACUGAGGCACGAAAGCGUGGGGAGCAAACAGG
rnacentral:rRNA from 1 species